UCGCAACUUCUAAUUAGUUGUAAGUGGUAGAGGAAUACUUGCCUCAGGGCUUCGCCAGCCAGGCGUGGUUGCCCGCUUUUGGCGCAGGUGGCCUCUUUGGAAUUGUGUUCCCAGUCUUCUUCCUCCCAUCACCUGCGUGGAAUACGAAGACCAUUUUCAGCAGGGCCAACACAAGGGGAGAGCAUCCUGUCCAUGUUCCCAACAAAUGYAGCAGAGCAGAACAGAGCAGGCGCGAAAAUUUCAAUUGAAAAAGCUGCACACAAGCAGCAAGUCAUGCUCCUCACCACAACCUGUGUCGCUGCCUCUAGCACAGCCAUMUCUCCUACCCCUCCUGUCCCCUUUAUCACCCAUUUGUAACAAAAGCGCACAGCAAGUUGGCCAUGACAGAAGGCAUUGUGCACCAAACUCCACCCUCACCCUCAGCAUGACUCAGCAUGCUUGCGCAAGCCACAGCAGGCUACAGAGAAAAAAAGCUGCACACAAAAAGCAACUCAUGUGCAUGCUCCCUUGCACCUGUG
rnacentral:lncRNA from 1 species